rnacentral:rRNA from 1 species
GCACCUUGACGGUACCUAACCAGAAAGCCACGGCUAACUACGUGCCAGCAGCCGCGGUAAUACGUAGGUGGCAAGCGUUGUCCGGAAUUAUUGGGCGUAAAGGGCUCGCAGGCGGUUUCUUAAGUCUGAUGUGAAAGCCCCCGGCUCAACCGGGGAGGGUCAUUGGAAACUGGGAAACUUGAGUGCAGAAGAGGAGAGUGGAAUUCCACGUGUAGCGGUGAAAUGCGUAGAGAUGUGGAGGAACACCAGUGGCGAAGGCGACUCUCUGGUCUGUAACUGACGCUGAGGAGCGAAAGCGUGGGGAGCGAACAGGAUUAGAU